UACAGAGGGUGCAAGCGUUGUUCGGAAUCAUUGGGCGUAAAGGGCGUGUAGGCGGUCUGUUAAGUCAUGUGUGAAAUCCCUCGGCUCAACCGGGGAACGACGCAUGAAACUGACAAGCUAGAGUACCAAAGAGGGGGGUGGAAUUCCCUGUGUAGCGGUGAAAUGCGUAGAGAUGGGGGAGAACACUCGUGGCGAAGGCGGCCAGCUAGACCAGUUCUGACACUGAGGCGCGACAGCGUGGGGAGCAAACAGG
rnacentral:rRNA from 1 species